rnacentral:rRNA from 1 species
CCUACGGGUGGCAGCAGUGAGGAAUAUUGGUCAAUGGGCGCGAGCCUGAACCAGCCAAGUAGCGUGAAGGAUGACUGCCCUACGGGCUGUAAACUUCUUUUAUAAAGGAAUAAAGUGCGGCACGUGUGCCUUUUUGUAUGUACUUUAUGAAUAAGGAUCGGCCAACUCCGUGCCAGCAGCCGCGGUAAUCCGGAGGUUCCGAGCGUUAUCCGGAUUUAUUGGGUGUAAAGGGGGCGUAGAUGGGUUGUUAAGUCAGUUGUGAAAGUUUGCGGCUCAACCGUAAAAUUGCAAUUGAUACUGGCAGGCUGGAGUGCAGUUGAGGUAGGCGGAAUUCGUGGUGUAGCGGUGAAAUGCUUAGAUAUCACGAAGAACUCCGAUUGCGAAGGCAGCUUGCUAAACUGCAACUGACAUUGAGGCUCGAAAGUGUGGGUAGCAAACAGGAUUAGAUACCCUUGUAGUC